UAAACACUUGUUUCUUCUUUACUCAAUCAGUUAUCAAUACCUAUUAUCUAUCCAUUCACGUGAAACACAACUUCUUCGACGAACCCGAACUACCACAACGCAGUUAAUCCUCUGUUCCCCAUUACUCACCACAAUCUGCGCCAUUUCCGUCGUUCAUGUCUAUGCACCAUUUCCCACCCUCGAUCUAAUAUCUAUCCGUUCAUUUCACUCGCCCCUUAUCUUCAAUCAAAUUCACUCGCUGUAGAACUCAAGAACCACAAUUCAUCUUUUUCCAUUUCAUCUUUCAAUCGUUCUUCUUCAACAGGGUUUCAUAACGAGGUGGUGAUUUGUGAUGGAUAAUGAAGGAGAAAAGGAGAGGGGGGAUGUUGGUGUGGUUGAAGAGAGUGUUGUGGGAUCUAAUGAGGUGAAGAAUUUGGAAGGAGAGGAGGUUUUUGAGGAGGCGAUAGACCCAUUAAAGCAUUUUGAUAAUCAGGGUGCUGGUGCUGUUGGUUCAUUGCCUUCGGAUUUGGUUGAUGUUGCUGCUACCGUUAGUUCAUUGCCUUCGGAUUCGGUUGAUGAAAUUGGUGAUAACGUAGAAGAAUUGGAUAAUUUUCAUGAGUCGGUGGGGGUUGUUGAUGAGUUUGUUGAACAUUUGAACGAGGAGGGAGUUGAAGUGAUUGAUAAUCAGGAGGAGUCUGUGGAUCAGCAGGUGAAGCUUUAUAGCGCUUUUCUAGAUGGUACUGAAGAGACUGAGGAUGGAGUAUCUUGUGAGGAAUCGAAUGGUACCAAGGAUGAUUGUAGUGGGGGAAAGGAGUUAGCUGAUUUAAACACUGAUGGAAGCACAGUGUUUCAGGAGGGCAGAGAAUUGGUGAAUGGAAACUCAGGUUUAUCAAGUGAGGAGAUUGAAAAUGAGGAUGUUGAAUUUGUGACGCCUAGACAAAAUGGUGGUAUGGUUUUGGAAAAUGGAAGCACGGACAAGGUGGGGUAUGCUGUUGAUGAAUUGCAUACAGAAUUUGGAUCCGAUGAGGAAAUGAGAAACCAGGGUGCUGAGGCUGGGUAUUUGAAAGAGAGUGGCUUGGAUCCCGAUGUUGGAGAUGACAAGAUAGAGGAACAGUUCAAUGCUUCAGGUGAUCUUUCUAGUGAAAUUCUAGAUGAUACAGGUGAAAAAGCACACAGACAUUCAGCUCAUGAGGAUCUAGAACCUCGUCAUAAAAUAUUUACAGAAGUGGAGGACGAGACCAUUGACACUGAUAUAAUCCACAAGGAUACAAAUGACAAAGAAACGGGAAUAUCUGAUAGUCAGAGUACUGAAUGCAAAGUUUAUAGUAAUGAUGAAACUGAGGAUGAUGAUGCCGGAUCAAAUUCAGAGCAUCUGGAAACAAUUGGUGAAAUAGUAGGAUCUUCUCUGGCCGUGGAUGAAAGAAAAGUGAUUGAAACUUCUGGUAUCUCGUCCCUAUCAGAAAAUUCUUUUGCUAGUGAGACGCCGACUGUUCAGGCUACUGCAGCUGAUUCAGGAGAAGAGAGUACAAAGGUUUACCAAUCUCAGAUUUCUAAUGACGAAAAUCAUGAAAACUUAUCUGUUGUCGAAAGAAGCGAAGUGAUUGAAACAGGAAAAUCUUCUCCGGCUUUGGAUGAAAGGAAAGUGACCGAAACUGUCGGAAGCUCAUUCCCAUCAGAAAAUUCUUUUGCUAAUGAGAUGCCAUCUGUUCAGGCUACUGCAGCUGAUUCAGAAGAAGGGAGUACAAAGGUUUACCUGUCUCAGAUUUCUAAUGAAGAAAAUCAAGGAGAUAAUGAAAAAUCGUCUGUUGUUGUGGAGCCUGAAAAGAUACCAGAGAAUAACGUGAAAGAGAAGCAAACCACUCAGAUCACUAAAGAACAGAAUAGUGAGCUUGAUUCCUCAUCUGGAAAAUCUGUUGCUACUAGCACCCCGCUUGUUCGUCCUGUUGGCCUUGGACCUGCUGCUCCAUUACUGGAACCUGCACCUAGGGUUGCGCAGCAGCCACGGGUCAAUUAUACUGUAUCUAAUACACAGUCCCAGAGAAUGGAAGACUCCUCAAGCGGGGAGCCUGAGGCUACUAGCACCCCGGUUGUUCGUCCUGUUGGCCUUGGACCUGCUGCUCCAUUACUGGAACCUGCACCUAGGGUUGCGCAGCAGCCACGGGUCAAUUAUACUGUAUCUAAUACACAGUCCCAGAGAAUGGAAGACAACUCAAGCGGGGAGCCUGAGGAGAAUGACGAGACUCGAGAGAAACUUCAAAUGAUUAGGGUGAAGUUUUUGCGGCUGGCUAAUAGGUUUGGGCAGACACCCCACAAUGUUGUUGUAGCACAAGUUCUUUAUAGAUUAGGACUGGCUGAGCAACUUAGAGGGAGGAAUGGGGGCCGUGUUGGCGCUUUUAGCUUUGAUCGUGCAAGUGCGAUGGCCGAGCAACUCGAAUCAGCAGGUCAAGAACCACUUGAUUUCUCUUGUACAAUAAUGGUUCUUGGAAAGUCAGGAGUUGGAAAAAGUUCAACUAUCAAUUCUAUCUUUGACGAGGUUAAAUUUAAUACGGAUGCUUUUCAUAUGGGAACAAAAAAGGUUCAGGAUGUUGUGGGCAUGGUACAAGGCAUUAAAGUCCGGGUCAUUGAUACACCAGGACUUCUACCUUCUUGGUCAGACCAGCCACACAAUGAGAAGAUCCUGCACUCUGUCAAACGUUUUAUUAAGAAAACCCCUCCAGAUAUUGUGCUUUAUCUAGAUAGAUUAGAUAUGCAGAGCCGGGAUUUUAGUGAUAUGCCUCUCUUACGCACAAUAACUGACAUUUUUGGACCACCCAUAUGGUUCAAUGCUAUUGUGGUUUUGACUCAUGCAGCAUCGGCUCCACCUGAUGGCCCUAAUGGUACUCCUUCCAGUUAUGACAUGUUUGUUACACAGCGCUCUCAUGUUGUGCAGCAAGCCAUUCGUCAAGCAGCUGGUGAUAUGCGUCUCAUGAAUCCUGUAUCGUUGGUGGAGAACCACUCUGCAUGUAGAACUAAUACGGCUGGACAAAGAGUGUUGCCUAAUGGGCAGGUUUGGAAACCUCAGCUGCUACUCUUAUCUUUUGCGUCAAAAAUUCUGGCUGAAGCAAAUGCUCUUCUUAAGUUACAAGAUAAUCCACGUGAAAAACCUUACACAGCGCGCGCAAGAGCGCCACCAUUACCGUUUCUCUUGUCAUCCCUUCUGCAGUCAAGGCCGCAAUUAAAAUUGCCAGAGGAUCAAUUCAGUGACGAGGAUAGUCUCAAUGACGAUCUUGAUGAACCAUCAGAUUCUGGUGAUGAAACAGACCCUGAUGAUUUACCCCCAUUUAAACCUUUGACAAAGGCCCAGAUCAGAAACCUUUCUAGAGCUCAGAAGAAAGCAUAUCUAGACGAGGUUGAGUACCGAGAAAAACUCUUCAUGAAGAAACAACUAAAGUAUGAAAAAAAGCAGCGGAAGAUGAUGAAGGAAAUGGCAGAAUCGGUGAAAGAUCUGCCCAGUGACUAUGUAGAAAAUGUGGAGGAAGAAAGUGGUGGUGCAGCCUCUGUUCCUGUUCCCAUGCCUGAUAUGUCCUUGCCUGCUUCCUUCGAUUCUGAUACUCCCACGCACCGGUAUCGUCAUCUUGAUUCAUCCAACCAGUGGCUUGUACGACCUGUCCUAGAAACUCACGGCUGGGAUCAUGAUGUGGGUUAUGAAGGCUUAAAUGUCGAAAGAUUGUUUGUUCUUAAAGACAAGAUACCAGUGUCUUUUAGUGGUCAAGUUACCAAGGAUAAAAAGGAUGCUAAUGUUCAGAUGGAAAUGACAAGUUCGGUUAAAUAUGGUGAAGGGAAAGCAACAUCGUUAGGUUUUGACAUGCAGACUGUUGGGAAAGACUUGGCUUACACAUUACGUAGCGAGACAAAAUUUUGUAACUUUCUGAGAAAUAAGGCAACUGCUGGUCUCUCAUUUACUCUCUUGGGUGAUGCCUUGUCAGCUGGAGUUAAAGUUGAAGAUAAGUUGAUUGCUAAUAAGCGAUUCAAGUUGGUUAUUGCUGGUGGUGCAAUGACAGGGCGUGAUGAUGUUGCUUAUGGUGGCAGUUUGGAGGCCCAGUUGAGGGAUAAAAAUUACCCUCUAGGACGCUCAUUAUCAACGCUUGGGCUUUCUGUUAUGGAUUGGCAUGGAGAUCUUGCUGUUGGGUGCAAUUUACAAUCACAAAUUCCCAUUGGACGGUAUACGAACCUUGUUGCACGAGCCAAUUUGAACAAUCGUGGGGCUGGACAAAUUAGCAUUCGAUUGAAUAGUUCAGAACAGCUUCAAAUUGCUUUGAUUGGCCUAAUCCCUCUACUUAAGAAGGUUAUUGGUUAUUCUCAAAAAUUGCAGUUUGGACAAGAUUAUUGAUGAAGUUAGAUUAUGUGAGAUGCAUAACAGUAGCAGGAACAGUUUUCACUGAGCAGUUGAUUCCACAUGCCCAGAACAAGUAAACUUUGGAUUUUAAUUUUUUAGCAGGACAUCCUAUUUAGAUAAGCAUGGCACUUGCUGGAGCUGACAGUGACGAUGGCAUUGCAUAAAGUACAGAUGGUAUAACAACUGUUUUGGAAAUGAAUAAGGGCUCUAGGCUGGUUGUUGAAAUCUGUAUCAUACUCAUGAGAAGUCGUCACGAUGUUUGUUGGUGCUUUUUGGUUUUAAACAUACUGAUAAUUUGGGAGUUCAAAAAUAAUUUGUGAAGCAUGCUGUUUGCUUUAUGUUCUUUAAUUUGCUGAAGAUUUAGAUGCAGUAGCUAUUCAAUCGCCAAAUUAUUGUAGAUAACUCAUUUGAUUUGCUCACAGGGUAGUUGUUACAUCUUCCUAUGGAUUUGAUUACUGUUAUGUCACUCGCUGAAGCAAGGAUAAGAUUAGUUUUAAUUCCAUUGCCUAUGUGAAUGAUUAUGGGACCCCUAAUAUUUUGUCUUUCACAGUAAUGGAUGUAUUUCAUUUUUCUAUAGAA